AGUAGAUCAACAAGAAUUGAUUUCUAGUGAAUAGUUUUUGAAUUUCUUAAAUUGAGAAAACAAUCAUAUUUUUAGAAAAUCAGCAGAAGAAAUAGAAGCUCAGUUUGGAUUUUCCAGGGCUACUACAAUAUGCAAGUUACUCCGACCGAGACUUCUGUGCCAUAAG